AGCUCAGGAGCCAGUCCUCACUUGGGAUCAGUAAGCAAGGCCUAUCUGGUGAAAAGCACUCGGCUUUGGCGGAGCGUAGCAGGUUUGUUUGUCAGUGCUUCAGAGUUACUAGGGCUGUGAGCUUUUGAAGCAGUGGCAGCAAAUGAAGGGUUUCUCCUAAUUUCAGCAGUCAAUCUGUGUUGCCAUGCACACUCCGUCUAGCUCAGGGUACUGCCGGUGCAAUGCUGGCAGCUUUAAGACACGAGCAAGUCUGCAGGGAAAAUGCCUUUUACGCCAGUGAAGACCAAAAACAUCUGAUGGCAGGUCACAGACCAGCAGUGCCCGUGCUCCCGGAGACCUCUCCAUCCAGCUGCCUCCCUCCCAGUCUUGGAUACAAAGGCUGCAGCGGCCAGCAGCACGAAUGCGUGAGCAGCAGUGUCGAAGAGCCUCACUCAUCUCUAGCAGCAUCCAGAACACAGGACUUUGAUUUGAUUCAUCUCCGUCCUCUGGUCACCUCUCAGUGCUGAUGCAAGGAGAAAAGCUGGCACUGCAGUUCUGGUAGGCGGAAGGUCUCCUUAGACAGAAAAGCAGUGUUGCCUGCGCAGUGUAGCAGAGGUGUGCGGGUGAGUCUCCUGCCAGCAGUGCAGGCUGCCUCUGCUGCUGCUUGCUGCCUCCCUGGCCCAGCCCAUGAAGCUUCGAUUCGGAGGAGGCAGGGAAAGUUGGAAGUCUGCAGCUGCGUUCCCAGAGUUGUGAAUUUCCCAGUAGGUGUUGCACAGACGGAAUUUUGUGGGUGUCCAUUUGUUUUGCGCUGAAUGCAUUGACUUCAGCAGUAGCUCAGGAUAUUUGGGGAAAAAAAACAACAAGGUUGAAGCACAAGCAUUUUAAAAGAAAUACUGCCAGUGCCAGCGUCCAGUGCAGACAGCCCCAGUGAGGUGCAUCUAAUAUCUGCUUUUGUCUUUUAUUCAUUUUGCCUCUAGUGAGAACGUUCUCCUUAGAGGCAGAACUGUAAGCCAUGGGGCUGUUGCUGCAUCUGUAACAAUAAAUCAGAUUGCUGAAUAUGGUGGUCUUUGUAGCCUUUGCUCUUUGUUUUAGCGCUACCUAAUAACAAUGCUGCCUAAUAUUCUCCUGUGCUUUUUCCAUUUUGGAAAGAAUAUCAAUUAAGUUUUAUUUGAAGCUGGUGAUAGUUUCAAUGUCAGAAAUCUUAAGAGCUCCUGUAGUGCAGAGAUGGCAUUAGUGGGACAAAUGGCAGUAGCUUGCAGGAUUGCAGCACCCUGCUAAUUAAUGCUAAUUUCCUGGGGGAUUGUUUAACACAGGCUUUUGUCUGUAGUGUGCACGGUGCAGGCAAUCAUGCUGUGCUCUACAGGGGGGCUGCUGCUCUCUCCCAAGCCCUGACAUGCAGUUGGUCACCUGGGGCAGCCCAGAGGUGCCAGGGCCAGGCACCAGCCUCAUGG
ensembl:lncRNA